CCCAGACUCCUACGGGAGGCAGCAGUGGGGAAUAUUGCACAAUGGGGGGAACCCUGAUGCAGCGACGCCGCGUGAGCGAAGAAGUAUUUCGGUAUGUAAAGCUCUAUCAGCAGGGAAGAAAAUGACGGUACCUGACUAAGAAGCACCGGCUAAAUACGUGCCAGCAGCCGCGGUAAUACGUAUGGUGCAAGCGUUAUCCGGAUUUACUGGGUGUAAAGGGAGCGUAGACGGCUGUGCAAGUCUGAUGUGAAAGCCCACGGCUCAACUGUGGGAGUGCAUUGGAAACUGUAGAACUAGAGUAUCGGAGAGGCAAGUGGAAUUCCUAGUGUAGCGGUGAAAUGCGUAGAUAUUAGGAGGAACGCCAGUGGCGAAGGCGGCUUGCUGGACAAAAACUGACGUUGAGGCUCGAAAGCGUGGGGAGCAAGCAGGAUUAGAUACCCUCGUAAU
rnacentral:rRNA from 1 species